UUGAGGUGCCUGAGGUACUCUCUUUACUGUACAGUAUCUUUAGAACUGGUAUAGCAUGGGCAGUAGCAGUGCAAGCUACCCUGCGUUGCCCAUCAAGGGGCAGCCCUGACCUGGAGGACCAUGUUUAGGGCUGACAGAGGUUGAGAUUCCAUGCCCAUUUGAACUGUGGUGAUU
rnacentral:sRNA from 1 species